rnacentral:sRNA from 1 species
CCGCCCAGGGCGCCACCGACGCCGGCACGGGUGUCGCCGUCCGCGAAGGCGGAACCACCGACCAGCGCAAGAGACAACAGGAGCAUCGAGGAGUACUUCAUAGAGAGGUUCUCUGUGUGGAUGUUGGCGCCGAUGCUGCUGUUGUGCGAAGGCGCUUACAAGCCUCUGCCGACGAGUGACGCGACUUUCAUCAAAAAACGCAAGUAUAUGAUUUAAGAACAGAACUUUUUCUAUUUCGGGCUGUCAGAAUGACAUUCCGAGGGUACGGAAUUCGCGUGUUUUUCUCACAAAAUGCUGUUGC